rnacentral:tRNA from 1 species
GCUAGUGUAGCACAGUCGGUAGUGCAGCUGAUUCGUAAUCAGCAGGUCGCGUGUUCGAGUCACGUCACUAGCUCCA